GCGAACGGGAUUAGAUACCCUGGUAGUCCACGCUGUAAACGAUGUCGAUUUGGAGGUUGUGCCCUUGAGGCGUGGCUUCCGGAGCUAACGCGUUAAAUCGACCGCCUGGGGAGUACGGCCGCAAGGUUAAAACUCAAAUGAAUUGACGGGGGCCCGCACAAGCGGUGGAGCAUGUGGUUUAAUUCGAUGCAACGCGAAGAACCUUACCUACUCUUGACAUCCAGAGAACUUAGCAGAGAUGCUUUGGUGCCUUCGGGAACUCUGAGACAGGUGCUGCAUGGCUGUCGUCAGCUCGCGUUGUGAAAUGUUGGGUUAAGUCCCGCAACGAGCGCAACCCUUAUCCUUUGUUGCCAGCGGUUCGGCCGGGAACUCAAAGGAGACUGCCAGUGAUAAACUGGAGGAAGGUGGGGAUGACGUCAAGUCAUCAUGGCCCUUACGAGUAGGGCUACACACGUGCUACAAUGGCAUAUACAAAGAGAAGCGACCUCGCGAGAGCAAGCGGACCUCAUAAAGUAUGUCGUAGUCCGGAUUGGAGUCUGCAACUCGACUCCAUGAAGUCGGAAUCGCUAGUAAUCGUAGAUCAGAAUGCUACGGUGAAUACGUUCCCGGGCCUUGUACACACCGCCCGUCACACCAUGGGGAGUGGGUUGCAAAAGAAGUAGGUAGCUUAACCUUCGGGAGGGCGCUUACCACUUUGUGAUUCAUGACUGGG
rnacentral:rRNA from 1 species